UGGUUGCUGUUUAGGUGUUUCUUACAUGGU
rnacentral:piRNA from 1 species